rfam:Verticillium albo-atrum VaMs.102 supercont1.4 genomic scaffold, whole genome shotgun sequence.
GGGCGAUUGGUUUAGUGGUAUAACGUCUGCUUAGCACCUGGGAAUCGAGAGUCCUCCGGUUGAGGGAAAUCGAAUGUUGCCUGCUGAAGGUCCCGCGUUCGAUUCGCGGAUUGUCCA